AAUACACGAAAGGGCUUCCUGUCAGUUCUACCACUGGCAGGGAAUUAUUCCCUCCGCAGUUCCAGCGGAAAAUUGGAUUCAUGAUCACAACAGUGCCUAACACAUCAAUGGAGAUUACCUCCAAAUUCAUUUGUUUGAGGCAAGGAAUGAAAAGAUACAGCAAUUAGAGAAUGAUCUCAAUCUCAGUGAGGAAGUAUUCCCGGAGUCUUUGAUUGGCAUUUCUCCUAUUAGGAUGCAUUAUUGGUAGUCACGAAAGAGGAAGAUAGGGUGAUCCAACAUCAAUUGGAAGAUGAAGAAUUAAGGAUGCAUUAUUGGUAGUCACGAAAGAGGAAGAUAGGGUGAUUCAACAUCAAUUGGAAGAUGAAGAAUUAAGGGAUUGCCAUAGAAGCCGGUGUAGCACUCACAAAUCCAAGCUGGGACUCUAUCGGUAGCAAGAAAAGUCAAGCUACCAUCUGUGCAGUUAGCAUCUGAAGGUCGCUUGAACGAUGACGAGUUGAAAACGGCCCAUGAAAGUAUUGCUGGAACAUAAUCCUCAUCCAGGUCAAGAAUGCUUCGAUACUCGUUGUCAGACCCCAAGUAUACCCUGUUCCAAUUCCUUGUUCCAAUCAACGCUUGACUGCACCGAUCACCACCACUCUCAUUAUCAUUACUCUUCAUAUCUUCAAGCGUCACGUUGAAUUCCACCAGGAACGAUGGAAGUGAAGUCUCGCAGCAGAGCCUACCAAGACAACCGUCGUUGGCCAUGUUGAUGCUCGCCUCUCUGUCAUCAUACUGAUCACAGAGGGAGACGCAACCGCUAACUUUGGAUCCGUUCGAUUGCAAAUAUGCCAUCUUGUUGCAGCCGAUGGCGGUGAACUUGUUGCGAUCCUUGGAAUACACGAAAGGGCUUCCUGUGAGAUUCACCUCUGGCUUAGCAUCACUGCUCUUGUUGCAGUUCCACCGGAAAACAGGGUUCAUGAUGUACAAGUAACUUGAUCCUGAAUCGAUGUUUGUUAUCUCCAGGUUUAUCCAUUUCAGGUACGGUUUUGAACCUUGUCGAGAGGUGUUUCUGCAUUCUAUUUCGAACCAUUUGUCUGCGUAGCACUUUGGAUCCCCCAUUCCGAAAGGGUAGGCGAUCCAUACUCCUCCACAUCUUGAAUUACAAUCGGGAUUCACCGUGUCUGGAUAAUCUAGUUGUGCAGAUGCCAAUGGAGACAUGGAGACUAUGAUCAAAACGAUCAUGUAAGAUGAAAGUUGCAGAAACAUUGUUGUUGUUAAAGAAGUGAUUUUAAAGUCCUGCUGGUUUGUGUGAUUGUGUAUCUCUCUAUCUUGAUUAUAUAUAUAGAAGCCUAUUUGUUAUGUUCUGUGUUCAUAAUCAUAACAAUGUAAUGUGAUUGCUUCAACUUUUAAGACAGGUCAAACUUUCACUAAUAUAGUACUAGCUAUAAGAAGACUUAUGGCAGCUUCUUGACCAA